AACCCAUGAUGAGGGCACCUUCCCAAAACAUCAUUAAAUCACUCUCAUACAUCAUACAAUGUCUUAAGCUCAAAUUGAGCUAAGGAAGAGAUGUCAUUUAUCAACUU
rfam:Gossypium arboreum cultivar AKA8401 contig_7193_3, whole genome shotgun sequence.